UCUCAUCAGCUUCCUUGUUCAGUAGUCAGGGCACUGUGGUUAGGUAGUCUGCCAUUAUGCCAAACGUUAGUUACCUAAAAAUUCCAUGCAACGCAAAAACCAGUGAGCAUCGAUGGUCCCUAUGUUCCCUUACUGGAAAUCACGUGACCUUUUCUAAAGCCCUCCGACCGAAAAUCACGCGAGCCUACUCAAUAAACUUUAUGAAAUGCAAACUUUUAUAAAGACAAACGUUUGUUUUAGUUUAAAUAUAAACACACAUUGCUAGACAGUUAGGGACCACAAUCUGCUCAAUAUUUAAAAUAAUAUUUAUUUUAAAUUGUAAACAUUUUUAUAUGUAACAUUUAAUAAUAUUCCUCCAAUUUAUGCACGUAUAUGUAAGAACAUAAUUACAGCGCUUUUUACAAUGUGUAAACUUUAAAAAGUUAGCGAGGUUUUUCCGGUUGUUGAUGAGUAACAGCUGUGAAUGAUCACAACGCGCAGCCACGUCACAGGAAAAUAAGUGAACAAUGUCCCAAUGUCAAGUGAGCUAGAGUCCUUACCAGUGCCCGAACCUGCAUACACAUUCACAACAUCGGGAGAUUGGGAACAAAUUGAGACACUCGCCAAGCCGCACCCGCAGCCAGCAACAGUGCAGUGGUUAGGUGCGUCGCUCUAAUUUGCCAGUGUAGAACGUUGCGUCGCAUUAGUUCCGCUUUUGGCGUCGCGUGUAAAAGCAAAAUAAAUUUGUACUUUUUUAUUUGGUCAGCACGGGGUGGCCACAGGGGUGGCCAGUGACAUGUCUACAGAGGCACGGGCCACCCUUGGCCUCCGUGUAGAACCGCCACUGUUUUUGUGGUAAAAGUGUAGUAAGUGGUGUAUUAAUUACUAGCAAAACCAUGAACAGUGAAGUAAACAGCCUUUUUUGUUUUAACUGUGUAAAUCCAUGGUUAAUUUUCGUAAGGGAUUAAUCUCUACCGUUUUUCAAUUUACAGUAGGGAAAAUGCCCGCGAAAACAUAUUUGCGUAAAUUUCCCUUCUGUAAAUAAAUUUGAAAAUGACCGCGAAAAUCCGACCAAUGACAUUUCCGACCAAUGAGGGAGAUUUCAAAUUCUGACGAGGCAGACGGAUAUUUUACCGUUGUUGGAGGACAGGAUGAAUUCAACAAGUAAGUUUUUUUAUGUUUUUGUAAUUAUAUAUUAUAUUUUAUAUUGUGCGUUUGUCGUUAAGAGUCUUUUAUUCUGCGGUUUAAUCUAGUGGUUGGACAUUUCUGUCAUAACCGAAUAAUUUGCAGUUAAACGUAACAUUACCUAAACAUUUGUAUGUUUCUCUGCCUCUAUAACAGUUAACUUAAAAUUGCAACGCAACAGUUGGGGAAUGUAGUGAGGGAAGCAAUAUUUUUUGCUUUAACUGAUGUUUUAACCAAUAUUUGUGCAUCUUGUUUUUAUUUCAAGUUCGCGGUCUGGAUUAAGUCUUUUGGAUCGUCAGAGGUGCGUGUGAUUGUGGCAACUAACAAUUACCUUCACAACGAGGAAAAACCAAGGUCACUGCAACUUCUGCAGAUGUACAGGGAAGCCUCACUGUACCCAGCACCCCAAGGCUGAUUGCAUUCGAAGAUUCUGUUCUCCAUGCCAGAAGAUGGAUGCUUACAAUGGAGGGCAGAGUCAUCAUUGAGUCACAAGACCUAACUGAUUUUCAGUCUGCAUUAGCUGUCUUGUUUGGCUGCUACUACGCUUUCAAUGUUUAGUACCAAGAAGAGGCAGCUGCGACUCUGGAGUUCCUGCAGAGAUUCAUUCUCCCCGAAUAAACCCUGAUGGGACAAAAUGCCAGUCAAAGACACGGAUCAGCCGUACCUCUGGGAAGAAGAUGUAAUGAAAAAGUUCUGGCCUGAAUCCUCAUGUUGUGACUUUAAUAAAAGAGCUUGUUGACUUUGAUUU